rnacentral:lncRNA from 1 species
AUCCUCUUUCAUUGCCAGUUCAGGGAGUCCCGGUGGUUGAGUAUCAGAUAAGUCCAUCUCAUUUCCCUUUGGGGUUGCCUUGGGUGAUCUGGAAGUCUGGUGUUGAGAUUUGUUUACAUGUUUUCUCUUUUGAACAGAUGCAGCCUGCUGUACCUUUGUUGAGGCGACUUUUUGCUCAUCCAGUGGUCUUCAAUUCUCAGCAAGACACCAAGAGGCCUUUUCUCUGCUUCUCUCCACUGUGCCAAUUCCUGGGUUCAGAAUGGUGGCCUCCUGGAUACGUGCACUGCCCUGUUUUCCAGUACCAGACAUCUCCCAUGGCAGCCUUGGGCAAUAAGGGCAGUGCUCCAAAACCAAAAGAACAAUGCUGCCAGCAGAGCCACGCAGGCAGAGCACUGCCGGCUGACUGAGCCCAGCUCCCGGAGGCCACGCCCACUUGCUAACAGGAGCCGGCCACUCCCACUUGCGACCAGGAGCCAGUAAGGACACCCCGGGCACUCCCACCAGCCCCCAGUGGAGCUGCACCAGCAUCCACAACAACAGAGGGGUCCCCCCACCCUGC